rnacentral:rRNA from 1 species
AACGAACGCUGGCGGCGUGCUUAACACAUGCAAGUCGCACGAGAAUAGGGUCGCAAGACUCUUAGUAAAGUGGCGCACGGGUGAGUAAUGCGUGGGUCAUCUACCCUUGAGACUGGGACAACCUGCCGAAAGGCGGGCUAAUACCGGAUAAGACCACGGAGGUUUCGGCUUCUGAGGUCAAAGGUGCCCUCUCCAUGGACGGUACCACUCAAGGAUGAGCUCACGUCCUAUCAGCUAGUUGGUAGGGUAACGGCCUACCAAGGCGAAGACGGGGAGGUGGUCUGAGAGGACGAUCAGCCACACUGGAACUGAGACACGGUCCGGACUCCUACGGGAGGUAGCAGUGGGGAAUAUUGCGCAAUGGGCGAAAGCCUGACGCAGCAACGCCGCGUGAGUGAAGAAGGCCUUCGGGUCGUAAAACUCUGUCAGAGGGGAAGAACACCCCCGACGCGAAUAGUGUCGGGGGUUGACGGUACCCUCAGAGGAAGCACCGGCUAACUCCGUGCCAGCCGCCGCGGUAA